rnacentral:rRNA from 1 species
CACGCCCUAAACUAUGUCAACUAGUUGUCGGGUCUUAUUAGACUUGGUAACGUAGCUAACGCGUGAAGUUGACCGCCUGGGGAGUACGGUCGCAAGAUUAAAACUCAAAGGAAUUGACGGGGACCCGCACAAGCGGUGGAUUAUGUGGAUUAAUUCGAUGCAACGCGAAAAACCUUACCUACCCUUGACAUGUCAGAAAGUUUUCAGAGAUGAAUUCGUGCUCGAAAGAGAAUCUGAACACAGGUGC